UGUUUGCACAGGUGCUUUCAACUUUUAGCUCCCCUGAAAGCUGUGAAGACAUAUGGCCACUGUCUAUGCACCCUUCUUUAAGAGGCAAUGAACAGGGAGCACUUUUACUGAUCUCUUCUGAGAACACAGGUUUCCCAGAACCUUCAACAGCACAAGAAACAGAAGCAUUUUCUGAAGUCUUGUCUAUUGUUUUUGAAGAAGCAUUGCUGAACUGAAUACUGUAUUCCUCUGGAAGAGUAGAAUCAUGUCUAGUUAAAGAAGCAACCUCCAUUAGCUGCAGAACAUCACCACAAGUAGACUUCAAAAAGGAAAUUCCAUUGGUUUGGAUCGCCCGGAAGACAUCUUGAAUCUAAGGCAGCAUGGAGAAACAGGCUGGCUUUUCCAUAUACCAGCAGCCAUCUCUGAUGAUGUUUUCAGUGCACUUGGAGAAGAUGCCUCAUGUUUUGAAAUCUGCUUUGGUUGAGCUGGGUCAUCUACGAAGUCUUUAAGGAAAAAAGUAAACUGUUGCUAUCACGUUUGAAAACCAACCAAACAAAUACCAAAACUGUAAGAGCUUAUUUUUUCAGAAGCUACAAUGCUUUCAUUUGCCUUGAACACAGUGGAGCACAGUUUUAGCUGAUACUGUACUGUUAUUAUUAUUGUAACUAACUUGGAAAUAAAAUGUAAUCCUUUUCUCUCAAAGCAGCUCAAUAGCCACCACAGAAUGUCUUCCCUGCGUGCUAGAAUCAAUCAGUCUUUGGAAACUGACAAUAGCCCAGAUGCAGUAUAGAAUUGGAAGAAAAGUUCUGUAAUGACAUAUUAUGGUUAUAAAUAAUGAUCAGAAUGUAAAGAAUUAUG